UUUCAUCUCCGCCUCCCUGUCCCUCUGCUCUGUGCCUUUCGAUGGUGAGAGGAAUAUGAGAGGAUGAGGACGGGAGGAUGGGAAGAAGAGUCGAUCUGGAACAAGGACGCCAUGGUCCAUUCGAUCUGGAACCGGAGGACAAGAGAACGAGGUCUUCUACAGGUUCGAUCUUUUCCUAAAUCGACGUGGUCGAUGCCGAGUACAUUAAAAUAUUGUUGGUUGGGCAGCGAUGCCGUAAGAAAUUUGUUUGACACCGGUUUGACAAUGUUUGUGUUCCUAGCAUGAAAAGAGUGGAUGUCAGAUUUAGACCCACCCACUGAACUACUCCACGGCAUAAUGAUCUAGCCAUGGUUUCUGAGCCAAACUUAAUUUAAUCAUGACCAAAUGCAUAUGGCAUAGUAUGUAAGGAUUGCAUUCUCCAGCCGCCACACAUCAUCAGGAAGUACUGCAUCUGGGCGGCAAAGCAGAGAGCAAAAUUCAGAGCUGUCCCCUAGAGUUGGGCAGCUGAGUGGACCUUCUUACCAGGAAAGGUCCAGGACAUAGAGCCCGUUGACCAACUAAGGUCGCAGGAGACGACACAGGCAGGCAAGCAAGCGUGCAUCCGCCAUUAUCUUUGGAGCUGCUAGAGGGAUCCCAUCAGAUGGGCUGGUUCGCAGCGUUUGGCCGAGGAUGCUUCUGAGGGCGUUAAUGCGUACAAAGGAAUGAAGUAUUUCUGGAAGGAGCUUUUCUCAUGAAGAGAUUUGUUGAAGUCAUAGGCACACUCUGUCAAUGUAUGUAAGGAGCAUGGUCAGGCCCACUGUUGUGCAUUGAUUGUUUGGGACCCUGCUUGCAGUGCCAUGCUUGGUGAUGCAGACAAGAUCAACCAA